rnacentral:tRNA from 1 species
UCCCUGGUGGUCCAGUGGUUAGGACUUGGCGUUUUCACUGCAGAGAGCCCAGGUUCAGCCCCUGGUCAGGGAA